ACCAUACUGUCAUCUAGUUGUAAUUGGUUCGCAAACCUAUGUUUAUCGAAUUGUAUUUUUCGCUUUUGCGCUGUUUUAUAUAUUGUAAUUAAUUUUUUGCUUGUUUUAUCUUAAUAUUACAAGGUUCGUUAUUAAUCACGUUUGGUAAUAACGAGUGUACGUCUAUAUCUAAAUUAUCGUCGUAAUGAAGGUCAUCUGGCGCAUAACCUGUACUCGCGUGCGCUGUACAAUUAAUCGUUCUUUCUAAUCUAAAUAUAAUUUAAUCCCAUAAUUGGUGAUCAUGACUCGCAUAUGUUCUAACUAUUCUACCUAUCUCUCGCAUAACUCGUUCUACCGGAUUGCUUUGAGGAUUAUAUGGGCUUGUUUUUAUCUCAAAUUCGUUUUUACAAGCAAACCCUUUCCAUCAGUUUGUUCAUGGUAUAAUAAGUAAGAUGUACCAUUCCGAUGGAUGCGCACUGGAUUGAAAGUAGUGGGGAUCAUCAGCCAAUCAAGUUGUGACUAUUUUGCAGAAAUUCAAUAUGCGCUUACAGAGCGCUGAGUACCUCGUGUUGUCAAAACAAAUAAGACGUUUAUCAAUUUUGACAUUUAAUUGGCUUUUUUUAUUAUAUUUAGACAAUUUUGCAUGUAAUAUGCCAGUGUGCAUACAAAAUUGUAAAACGCGGACAGGCCGUGCUAAAGGAAGAAGUAAAAUUUGCUAUUUUCUUAAAGAGCCUAAUCUGAGAAAGAAGACUUGAGGCUUACAAACGCAAAGAAGAGCUGAAACAAACAUACAAUGUAGUAUGUGAGCGACAUUUUCUAGCGGACUGCAUAGAGGAAAAGUGGACAGAACAACGUUUGAAAAAUCAAUCACGAGUGAUUCGACGAUUAAAAGAAGAUGCAAUACCGACAGAAUAUUUGAAUAUUGAAACAGAAAGGAAACCAAGAAUUAGUAGAAGUUUCAGAUUCGUAUUUUGCAAUAUCUCCGCUCGUAGAACAUAUAGAGAAAAUAAAAAUACUCUCAUAAUAUAUCCCGAGCGGUUGCAAUCAUGAGCACACUUAGAACUUAAUCGAUUCAGCUCUUAUUGAGAUCCGAUAAUCUCAAUCUGGCGCAACUCGCCGGCUUGCGAAAAGUAGCCAUGGUAGUAUCGCUGCGCGUAG